GACGAACGCUGGCGGCGUACUUAACACAUGCAAGUCGAACGGCAAGGCCCUGCUUUUGUGGGGUGCUCGAGUGGCGAACGGGUGAGUAACACGUGAGUAACCUGCCCUUGACUUUGGGAUAACUUCAGGAAACUGGGGCUAAUACCGGAUAGGAGCUCCUGCUGCAUGGUGGGGGUUGGAAAGUUUCGGCGGUUGGGGAUGGACUCGCGGCUUAUCAGCUUGUUGGUGGGGUAGUGGCUUACCAAGGCUUUGACGGGUAGCCGGCCUGAGAGGGUGACCGGCGACAUUGGGACUGAGGUACGGACCAGACUCCUACGGGAGGCAGCGGUGGGGAAUAUUGCACAAUGAGCGGGAGCCUGAGGCAGCGGCGCCGCGUGCGGGAUGACGGCCUUCGGGGUGUGAACCGCUUUCGCCUAAGACGAAGCGUGAGUGACGGUAAUGGGUAAAGAAGCACCGGCUAACUACGUG
rnacentral:rRNA from 1 species